CAGCCAGGGCUAUACAGAGAAACUCUGUCUCAAAAAACCCCAGGAUAGAUAGAUAGAUAGAUAGAUAGAUAGAUAGAUAGAUAGAUAGAUAGAUAGAUAUAGAUAUUUGACAAAAAUAUGACAUAAGAAACUAACAUUUUAUUUUUCCUAGCACAGUGUUCAGCAUUUAGAAAUCCCAUAUUCAUAAUAACUUCACAGAAUAAAGCUACCUUGGAUAACAAGAGCUAUUUGAAGAUCAUGCUAUAGUUGCAGAGAGAAGGCACCUUACAUAGCACCAAAGUGGUUGACAUGGCUUGAUUUAGACUGGGCCCCACUGCUGGCCAGUUCUAACUGAACCACCUCUUUACAAGAAGUCAGGUGAUGGCUCAGGAGAGAGAUCCACCAUCUUGCAUGAGUUCAGGCAGCAGGGCUUGGGGACAAGUGCUUUCUAAUUGUUGGCCAUUUUGUUUGAGGCGAUUUUCCAGAGCCUCUUAGAGCAGUCCUGUUUCACUUAAUGAUCCAUCUGAGAAAUUCAUCCUUAGGCACGGACAGGUCAUGCCAGGGGAAUCCUUUUUGCAGUGAAGAGAUGUGAGUAACCAGAUAUGUGUAAGGCCAGUACUAAGACAGCACAGUAUGCCAUCUGACACCAGCCACCUUUGUCUUUAGAAUACACUCUGAAAUAUGAACAGAAAAGUAUAGUGCAGGCAGAUGCAUGGACCAGCAACACUGUUACAGUUGCCAAGCCUUCUGUGUUGUGGGUGUGUACUUCUACACAGAUGGCGACACAGUAGUCUCACUUAUAUCAGCAUCGCUCCAAUUUAUUGUGCUACGAUGACAAGGUGGCUGGGAUGUCACUAGGCUAUAGGGCUCAUUAUACAUUCUUUCCAGACCACAGCCUUAUAUGUGGUCCACUGCUGACCCAAACAUCAUCACGAGACAUGUAAUGAUAAAACAGAAAGAACCACGACAACUAGCCAAGGCAAAAUGGCUGCCAGAAGAGGUUCUGCAGGUGGGGCUGUGUGCAUCAGCCUCCGCUACUCUUCUUAUGCCAGGUCAGCCGUGUGACCUUCACUGCUGGGGUUCCUUUGAUGAAGUCCAAACUUCAGAGAAAGUUGAUGCUGACAAAUUUCACCCCUCCCCAGCCUUUUGGCCAUUUUUAGAGGUUGCAAAUGAGCGGUGAUUUAAGAAAACAGCAAGAUCCACAACAAGAACAAAAGAAUCAAGAUUUCCUAAGACCUGUGCCUCAGGUCUGGGACUUGUAGGUCACUGGUGACAAAGAGCUUGCCUAAAGUGCACAAGGCCUGAGAUUUUUAUCUUCAAGGGUGGGAGUCGGAAUCAAAUCUCUAGCCCUGGUUCUGCUGGCUGGCUCAGGACACAGUGGAGCUGGUGAGGUCCCCACCCCCACCGCUGUGCCCCCUGCCUUAUUUAGGUUCAUGUCAGUCAGACAAUUUUCAAGCAGGGGACAGAAACCUGCUGGUGAGAAACUUCUCAAGUGUCACUGCUUGCAAAAGACUGAAGGAAAACAGAAAAGCUCAGUUUAUUAUCCUGACAGGAAAAGAUAAUAUCGCUUUGCCCUUUUGGUUUGUUUAAGGUUAGGAACGGAGCAUUCCUUGAAAGUUGCCUAAAAAGAGAUUCUCAAACGUUGCUUUCCUUCUCAUUCAAACGUGAAUCUCAUUAAUAAAAAUCCUGGCUAAUAUUAUAUAAGAAAUGAUAUGAAUGUUCUCAGUUAUAAGAGGACUAAUAACUGAUCCUGAUGUGUUAUGUGCCCUCCAAGUUAUGUGUCAACCACGUGGGGAUGUUCCCCUGUCACUACAUCUCAGUAAACUUUGCUUGAAACACCGGACUUGAGAUCACCU
rnacentral:lncRNA from 1 species